ACGAACGCUGGCGGCGUGCCUAAUACAUGCAAGUAGAACGCUGAAGGAGGAGCUUGCUCUUCUGGAUGAGUUGCGAACGGGUGAGUAACGCGUAGUAACCUGCCUGGUAGCGGGGGAUAACUAUUGGAAACGAUAGCUAAUACCGCAUAAGAGUAGAUAUCGCAUGAUAGCUGCUUGAAAGGUGCAAUUGCACCACUACCAGAUGGACCUGCGUUGUAUUAGCUAGUUGGUGAGGUAACGGCUCACCAAGGCCACGAUACAUAGCCGACCUGAGAGGGUGAUCGGCCACACUGGGACUGAGACACGGCCCAGACUCCUACGGGAGGCAGCAGUAGGGAAUCUUCGGCAAUGGACGGAAGUCUGACCGAGCAACGCCGCGUGAGUGGAGAAGGUUUUCGGAUCGUAAAGCUCUGUUGUAAGAGAAGAACGAGUGUGAGAGUGGAAAGUUCACACUGUGACGGUAUCUUACCAGAAAGGGACGGCUAACUACGUGCCAGCAGCCGCGGUAAUACGUAGGUCCCGAGCGUUGUCCGGAUUUAUUGGGCGUAAAGCGAGCGCAGGCGGUUAGAUAAGUCUGAAGUUAAAGGCUGUGGCUUAACCAUAGUACGCUUUGGAAACUGUUUAACUUGAGUGCAAGAGGGGAGAGUGGAAUUCCAUGUGUAGCGGUGAAAUGCGUAGAUAUAUGGAGGAACACCGGUGGCGAAAGCGGCUCUCUGGCUUGUAACUGACGCUGAGGCUCGAAAGU
rnacentral:rRNA from 1 species